rnacentral:rRNA from 1 species
AAUUUAAUUCUGGUUGAUAAAGACAUAUAGAAUUUUACCACAUAGGAUUUUUUGUGUUUAUUUGUUUUUAUGUUGAAUGAGUUAAGCUAGUGGUGAGUUCUCAUAGUAUGGUUUCAGUAUGGGAGGUUCUAUAAAGAGGUGGGUAAGUCGCAGUGCCAGCACCCGCGGUUAUUCUGUUAGUCUCGUCUUUAUGUUGGUGUAAAUAAUUUGAAAGUUAUUGUUAGGUUUUUGGUAGAAUAUGACCUAGGGGGAAAUAAAUUUUCUUAUUUGUUUGAUAUCAUUUUUGGAAAAGGAUUAGAUACCCUUUUACAAGGUUUGGAAGUUUUAUCCAUAGUUGAAACUAAAAGAAUUUGGCAGUCGACGAGAUUCGUCCGGGGGAGUGUGUCUUUGAACAGAUAGUCCACUUAUUAGUCGACCACCAUAAUGUGAGUUAGUGUAUGUCCGGUUUAAAAUCUGUGGUCAGAGCUUUAAAUAGGUGAAAUGAGGUUGAUUUAAGCUAGGUCGAUGUGCUGCUGAUGUGGUGGUUAAGGUGCACUACAGUAUAAAUCUUAACUUGGGAGUGGGUUGUAAUUUAGGACUCGGUAGUAAAGGUUAAUUAAUAUGUGGCUUUGAAUUGUGAUAUUAGUCGAGGUACACAUCGCCCGUCACUCUCAAUUAGUGUUGAGAUAAGUCGUAACAUGGCAGCGGUGGGGGAACCGGCCGCUAUGCAAUCCUGUACUUUUAGGUAAGGGG